UCCACUGGCACUGCCACACCGUGUCACAUGCCCUGAUUCCUCACCUCAGAGCCUAAUGGGAGGUCUGUCGCAUAGUGUGUCAGGGCCUUUGGUGCUGUCUGGCUGUGGAGGCCACAUACGCUGCUGAUCCCGGGAUGCAUGUUGUGGAAGCCUGACCUCUAAAGUAUAUGUGGCCCCAGCUCUGCCCUCAGCUGUGAAAACCAGCUCACAGUGUUCUCCAGCGCCAGGGGGCUAGUGGCAGGAGUGGCAGGCUGCCACCUGAAAGCUCCACGCUGUAGCUGACCUCUGCUGCUGCUGCUGGAUUCCUGGCCUCUGCUGUGAAGCUGGCACUUUUGUGGCUUCACAAAGCAGUGGAGGAGUAACUGGAAUGCAGUGAAUGAGAACUUUCAAUAAACCGACUUACAUAUUAGGUAGCAUCAGCCUUUCAGAGUAGUCUGUUGCUGACAUGGGCAGAAGCAGGAAAGCAACUUUUUUUUUUUUUUUUUUUUUUUUUUUUUAGGAAAGCAACUUUUAAAACAUUGAUCUUUCCAGUUGAGUGUGCAUAUUCACCUGGUUUACAGGAACAGGCCAUGGUGUUAGACCUAAUUCUAUGAAAUCUCUUGUUUAUGCUCCUCACUUGACAACCAGUCAUGUAGUCCUGUAAUCUGUCAAGUAGGCUGAUUCUUUGUGAUCAUCAUAUUUCGAUUACUAAUUUCAUGGAUUGCUGACAGUUAAACUGAACUCCAGGUCACAGUGAUGCACACCUUUAUCCCACCCUCACAACUGAUCAAAACACCAGACUUCCCGGAUUUUCAGUACCAAACAUAAGAAGCUAGGGUGGAGGUGGGAAAGGAUGAGGGGUGCUGGAGGGAAGAAAAGGACAGAGAAUCGAUUUCCAUAGUGACCCUGUUCAUUAAGGUUCUAUUCAAGAGGAAAUUGAGUAUCUUGUUCAAAGUUUUUCAGAAGCCUUUUAAGUUAUUUGGAAGUAUUGAUUGUACUUUAUGUCUUUACUUUGUGAGUGGAGAUGACUUUGUGUGUUUUGUGAUAGCAAUCCUGAAUGUGUUUGUGACUAAGAUUGCCUCGUAGUAUUCAAAUCACCAAAGAUGACUUUGAUGGUGAGGUAGGUUCCAAGCACUGCAUGGGGCCUUCUAUUCCUCAUUCUUUUAUUUAUGGUGUAUCUUGAGUCACUUAGAGCAAGACUAGAGUCUGUUGGCAGCGUUAAAACACGUAGACCAUGGAACUGGUUUCCUCUUGCUUCUGAGCCCGGCUGUCCUGAAGGUCUCCACUGGCUUCAGUGGAGUGGGGUCCCUGGCAGCACAGUGCUCACUGAGUGUUGAGAGCCAUCUGUCUCUUUCUCCCUCUCAGCCAAGGCGAGCUUUGCCAUCAUGUCCUACACUAAGAAGAGCUCAGAACCUGCUGGCAGGCACAUCCGAUGGCAGACUUGGGUCACCAUGUCUCUGGAAAGACACAGGCAGCUUCGUCGGGACCCCCUUCCUGGGACCUCCUCUUGUGCACUGUCUUAGCCGAUGAAAGCUUUUACCACCUUCUCUAGAGACUUGCUCUGUGUUGCCAGGUUGGCCCUGCCUGGGCUUAGCCUGCCUGCUCUUUGUCUCUGAUACUGAUGGUUGGGCCCCAGGUUUGGUGGCAGGUACACCGUCAUGUAUUUGUGUGUCUUUAUUCUGAGAAUUAAGUAAGAUACUGUGCUUAGUGAGUAUAGAAAAACUUCAUCUGAGUUAGUUCUCUUUGAUUUUGCUGGUUUUUAUGGGUUUUCCUCUGCUUUUAUACCAUAGCAGGUGCUCAGUAAAUGUUUCUCAGAUGAAUGGGAAGAAAAAUGCAGGCACCAUUCAAUGUUGCUUUUUUGUUAUACCGUGUCUUUCCAGCUAUGUGCUCAGCGAAGGCCUGUACCCAGUGCUGUGCUGUGUACUCUGACCCCGAAUGAAUUAGAUGAACAAGGCAUUUAUAGAGCAGGCAUCCUGAAGCUCAGUGUGUAAUCUGGCAGACUUAGUAAUACACAGAUGUGGCACAGUGCCACGUAUUCCGUAAUAGACACAAGGACAGCUCACCUUGGCAGCUCAGAAGGAGGCAGUGUUCUCAGGGAAGAUGGCUAUAAAGUUAGAUAUUGGGGGGAUCAGUAGACGAGGUUACUGUGCCCAAGCCGGAGUGUACACAGCUGAGGGUGAUUGGUUUGGUGGCUGCUCCUGACUGCUGGCCUGGGAGCUCCCAGAGGAGCCAGGGAUUCAGGCAGCUGAGAAACUGGACCUGGUGGCCUAGACAGUCCCUGUGGUGGUGGGGCUGGAGUUUGCUGCUGGAGUCCAGUUCCACCCAGGAACAUACAGCUGGAAGCGACUGCUGUCCUGUGACCUCUGUGGCACCCUUGAAGUCUUCAGCUUUGGUUUUACAGCUGGCUGUUGUUACUGUCUUUGAAAAAAAGACAUUGUGAGUGCUAGGCCUUGUAGGUGUUAUUCCCCCAACUUCUUGAUGUCUGAUUAACAAAUGCAUUGUACAGUGUGAUGCCAUUGAUGUAUGUCUGUGCCGUGAUGUGAUCACCACAGCUGAGCCAUCAUACAUCAUUUCGCGGCUUUGGUUUAUAUUUGUUUUGAUUUGUCUUGUUUUCAGUUUUUUUUUUUGGUUAAAUGUUUAAGAUAUACUGUCUUAGUGGGUUUCAGGUAUAAGUCGAGUCCCCAUGGUGCAGAUUAGAUCCCCAGGAUUUACUCUUCUUGGGUCAGUGUUUUAUGCCCUGAAGAAACAAGAGCAGAAGGGCAGUUUCCAGGUGCCAAGGGAGAUGUAGGGGCAAGUGCUGGCCAUUGAACCCAGAGCCUUUGCUAAGUUGCUGAGUUGCCCAGGCUGGGCUUGAACUUUCUGUCUUGCUGCCUGAAUAUCCCUGAGUGCUGGGAAAACCAUGCCUGGCUCUUUGCCUUUGAUUUUUUCUUUGAUCCAUUGAUUGUUGAGGAGUGUGCUAUUUAAUUCCAUGUAUUUGUAAAUUUCCCAGCAUUUUUGUUGCUGUUGAUUUCUAGUGUCAUAUCAUAAUGGUAUGCUGUGACUUUGGAGAUUUCCUCUGCUUCCUGUGUGUAACUCAAAGGCUUUUGGGUCCAUUGUUCAGCACACAGGGAUGCUCAGUACAAGUCUGCAUGCUCUGUAUGGUCUACACAGGCACUUGGUCCACCGCCAGCUUCCCAUGUGGGUGGCCUGUGCAGUGGCACCACCUCCUGGCAGUUCUCUUAGCUGGUGCUCCAUGUGUCCGGGGCUCUGUCUCUGUGUGUACCGCCGUGUCUUCUUGAUGAGUUGGCUCCAUAUUUCAGUGACCCUGGUGUUGCUUCUGUGUUCUUUGGGUGACCAUCUGCCAGGGUAUCUUUCCAUCCCUUCGUCUUUCAGGCCCCUUUGCUUUUGUGGAAGGCAGAUCCAGUGAUGAUGAACCCCUUCAGCUUUUGCCAUGGUGAGGAAGUCCUUCCUUCUGAAGGAUGCCUUACUGGGUAUGACUCUGCAUUUCGGCACUUUGAAUAUAUGGAAUAUAACUGAAGAAUACAAGGAGCGUUUAAAUUAUAAAGCUGUGUUUCUGAAAGGACACAUUGCCAUCACCCUGUCUCAGGAUGACAACCCUGUUGCUUCCAUCGCUCUUAUUUCAUCAGUCCUGUCACUUUUCAAAGCGCUUCUGGGGUCUCCUUCUGUGUCUUUGUGAGAUGCGCUAAAAACCCUGUGACUGCUGCCGCCGAGUUCCAUUCAGCAGAAAGUCAGGUUGGAAAUGCAGUGUCCACAUCCACCGGAUUCACCAGAGCUGGCACCGUGUGACUCCUGGGGAGGCCCAGGGAUUUGACCAUGAAAGAUCAGCGUCAAGUGCCUGAAUUGAGCAUGGAUGGUGGAGGGGCCCUGUCCUGCCAGUGUCACCACGGAAGGCUGCCCUGGGCUUCUCCUGCUGGAAAGGGCUGUGACCCCUCCUCUGGGCUUGGGUGGGACCUGGGGUGCCCCACAGUCACCAGUGGUUCAGUGUAUGUGGGCUGUGCUCCUUUGUGGGGUGAUUGUCAUGGUUUGGGGGUGACAUGUCACCCAAGGUAUGUGAUGUGGGUGGCUCAGUGGCAGAUGGACCUUUGGGGAGUAAUGGGGUUCUGGGGCGCUGACUUCAUCCCUGGAUUAAACCACUAGAGGGUCCUGAUUUCGAUGGUAGAGUGACCUUGGAGACUCUCUGGCUCCCUGCCCCUUCCAGUAUGGUUUGUUCCCCUCUUUCCCCUUCCUGGCUGCCAGGAGGCAAGUGGAUUUUCUCUUUUUGCUCUUCCGUCGUGAUGUCUUUGCUCUCCACAGCAGAACAGCAGUGGAACUGACCAGCCUUGAGCAGAACCUCUCAGAAGAUAGGAGCCAGAGCAGACCCUGGUUCCCAGUCCCUCAGGUGCUGUGUCACUGCAGCACGGAGCUGACUAGUACAGUGGUCUGCUGGCCGGGUCCCCACUGGUGGGACCAGGCUGGCUGCAUUUGUGGGCUCCUGUCAUGCUAUAUGGUUCAUUCAGGUCCUGGCGGCUGGGUAGUGGGCAGCAAGCAGGUGUGCCCAGAACAGGACUGCUGUCUGGCUCUGCAGUGACACCUUACUGUCCAGGCUCCCUGCCUAGGUGGAGCUGAAGCUCGGCCCACACUGAGGAGGAGCCAUGCAGCAGGCAGCUCUCUGAGCAUUCCUGACCAGGCAGGGUCAUCAGGGCUCUGUGGUGCUCGCUAGCUGGAGGAUCCUUGUACCAUUCAUUAGCUGCGCAGGUCUGAAGGGUUAAGUCUCUCUCUGGGAGCUGAAUUUAUUGUUUAAUUUUGAGUUGUGAAAAAGGUGGGUGAAGUGAAUGGUCUUUAAAAUACCUUCUAGAUUAAAAAGUUCUUUUAACAGAUUUGUUAAAGUUUGCUAAUUCUGUGUCUUGGAGGGUAGAACACAGGUCUUCAGGCUUUCUUCAGACUGUGGGGUGUGGGAUGGAGCAUGGGCCAGUCUCUGAGCUGUGUUUCUUUAGUUUAACAUGCCCUACUGUCACGGGCUCAGUGAUUCCAACAGAAAGAACUUAGGGUGUGUCCGGGACAGGUGUGAGUAGGGUUUAUUGUACAAAGAGAGAGCAGAGGACGCACUCUGGCAGGGAGUGUGGGUGUUCAGAGGAGUGAGAUGCAUUGCUGUUUGGGACCAGGAUGUUCAUACUUUGCUCGAGAGGAUGAAAACCCUGGGAAAAGACUGCCCAUUCCCCCUAGAAAGGGGACUAGUAUAGUUUUCAUUUUUUUGAGAAGUGAUAUAAACAUUCUCUGUAUUCACUUAACCUUUGUUUUUUUUCUCUUAAUUGGGCCAGUUUAUGGCCUGUGAGGAUGGGUGAGGUGUGUAACUCUGGCGAGUACUGUAGAUGGGAUGGGCUUUAUCUCAGGGCAGGGCUGACAGGGGCAUUAUGGGUAAGUAGCAGAUGCCCACACCGGGACUCCCCUAGGGAAAAUACUGUGUGUGUCACUAUGAAGCCUGGGGGACUCCAGAAGCAUCUUUGUGUUCACUCAUGGACAUCAAAGUGUGUGCACAUGUGUCAGAGUGUUAGCAGCUAUUGAUGAUGAGUUGGGUCAUGUGAGCCAAAAAAUUAGCAAGAUAGGAUGAUGGAAGUACAGAAUGAAGACCUUGAUUCGGACGAGGAAGAAAACAGUGACUUAAUAAACAUGAUACUAAUCAAGAUGGUCAUGUAUGCCCAAAUAACACAACAUUGGAACUAAGUUGGAAAACAUCAUGAGGUUCUUGCCAGAUGUGAAGCCAACUGGAUGGAAGCCAGCACUGUGAUUCAAGGUUGGGAACUGUCUGUAACAAGGUUGGGGACAUGCUUCGAGGUGCUGUGGAAUAGCCUAAGGAGAGAGAUGUGAGUAACAUCCUGUAUGCAUCAAGAGUAGUGCUCAACAAUAUAUUUAUGUGACACCUCACCAUCUGAACAGACAGUCUUCAUAGCAGGACUUGUCAUUCUAAUCGUCAGGAUUAAAGGAUGCAUGGAGAAGUGACAGAUGUGGCAUUGAGAUUUGUAGAACAAUAAUGACAACCAAGAGAUUUGAUUUCCUUUAAAGUUGCCUACGUGGGCCAGGGAUUUAGCUUAGCAGGCAUAAGCGCCUGCCUGGCAAGUGCGAGGUCUUAAGUGUCAUCCCUGGUACAGAAAGAAAGAAAGAAAGAAAGAAAGAAAGAAAGAAAGAAAGAAAGGCAGGCAGGCUGGCUACAUUGUAACCACAAAAAAAACUUGGCAAGAAAGAAAAAAGUCCAACAAUUUGGCUGUUCUUUGCUCAUUCUUACAAGCUGUGUGUUGAACUGUCAAGCAGUUUAUGCACCAUCUGAGUGUGUGACAAUUAGUGUACAACUUGCAUCAUUUAUGACUGUCAAAGCUUUUGGCAAUAUAUGCCAAAUAAACUUUCUAAAUAUGGUAUAAAAUAUAUAUGCCUGGUAGAUGGGAGGACAUUUUCCACCUUAAACUUAGAAAUUUAUCCAGAAACUCAGCCACCAGGCCUGUAUUGGAACAGUAAUAAAUUGUAUGAUUGUUCCACCUGUUUCAAAAGAUAGCCCUGACGUCACAUUUGACAAUUGGCUCCCAAGUCACCCAUUGCUACUACCUUUGCUAACAGACAGCCGGCUGCUGAGCAUGGCGCAUACACCUGUAAUCCCAGCACGUGGGAGGGUGAAGCAGGUGGAUUCCUACAAGUGCAGGGCCAGCCUGGGCUGCAUAGUGAGUUCAAGGCCAGCCUCAACUACAUAGCAAGACCUUGUCUCAGGUAAGUAGGUAGACAGACAGACAGACAGACAGAUGGAUUAAAAAAAAAAAAGGAACACAGGUGACCAGCAUUGGAACUGUUCACAAGAACAAAGUGGAGAUUCCUUAAAAAACAUUGUAAGUUCAUGACAGAAAAAUGUACAGUGCACUCUUUGGAUUUCAGAAAGAUACAACAUUAGCCUCCUACAUGGUGAAGAAAAUCAAAGUAGUAUUGAUACUGUCAGCAUUGUACCAUGAUGAUAAGAGUGAUAGUGAAGCUCAACUGGGUGGCACUUGUGUGUAACUCUAGCACUCAGGAGGUUGAGACAGGAAGAUGCUGCAUUAUGGUGAAGAAAAAGUCAUAGUGGCCCUUUUGAUGUUACAAUCCUCUGUAGGCCUGGACACCCCAAGGGCCACGGUCACGGGGUGGCCCAUGUCUCCAUAGGGUGGUUUAUCCUCCAGCCCACGGUUGCAGGGCCUGAGCCUUCCAAGGUGUGCAUACAGUUCACACUCACCCCACGCCCUGCACCUGCUGUUCUCUGCGUUUGGCACCCCUGAGUCAUCCUGAGAGCAAUUGGAAAUCCUUGUUCUCCCCGCACUCACAGGACUUUUAUGCUGUUUGAGUGACUGCCUGUCACUUUGCUCUGUGGUUUGGUGUUGGAGGCACAGAGUGGGUGCUGCUGCCUAGCAACAGCGGCUGUGGAGACUCAGGCAGCCCCGCCAGGGAGAACAGCAGAGGCAGCUCCCAGCGCCACCCCAGAGCACAGCUUCAGGUGUGCCUGCCCCAGCCUUGGUCUCGUGGCUCGAUGUUAAGCUUGCCCCUAGCUGGACCUUGCUUGCUGCUGACGCCCCCCCCCCCCCCGCCCCAUCCCAGCUUUGUUUCAGCUUCCAGAGCCUCUAAAGUUAAUUUGCAAAAUGCUGUGCAUUUUCACAAGUGGCUCAGCAGUGUGCCCUGACUUCCUGGUGAGGUGAGAAGAGGGCGACACUGGGGACCUCUUCUGGCCUCAUCAUGCUGUGUGAGGUCUCUGAGUCCUAUGCUAUCUGUGUCCCAUGUGGGAGGAUGGCCUCGGGAGAUGGGGCCUGGACAGUGUCUGCUCUGUGCAGGUGCUUGGCCUCCAGUCACUUUGCACAAGCACACAGAGCCCUGGCUGCAAGGUGUCAUCUGAGGAGGAGCCCAGGAAGAGGGAGAGGGGAGGAGGAAGGGGGAGGAGAGGGGAGAGGAUAA